GACAGUAUUGCAGAAAUUGUACAGCUGCACAAGAGGACGUUAAUGCACCUAAAUGAACAUCAGUAUACUUCCAUGUCACCUAUCAAUUCAUACUUGAUAUACACCACCAUGGGUUCAUAUCUGCAAUGUACAUACUAUUGGAAUUGAACAAUCUAUGAACUACGAACUGUACAACUGACUAAAAUAAAACGUACAGAAGCAACAGAUCGACUCUCAACAGAUAAAAAUCCAUAAAGUGUUUUAAUGGAAGCGCUUUUCAUCCUGUAACAAUCACAUGGACUUCUUCAGCUAAACAACACAAAUUAACUUCCCUUUUAAAUACCCCCUCCUAUAUGCAGUCAUGUGACCACAAGCAUUAUUCUUUAAAGAAAGAACAAAUAUUAAAACAGUUUUUUGUUGCAUGUGUGUAAAAGCAAUGAAUACCAAAUAUAUAUCCACAUAAAAAUACAAAAAAUCAUGAAUACCACUCUGACAUGAAUUUUGUUCACAUUUUAAGAUUUUUUUAACUUUAAUACACAACUUAUUGAACUCAUGUCAUUAAGACCUGGGGACAUGUAUGCAUUUAGUAGGACCUGCCACAAUAAUUCUAAUCAUUCUGACUUUACUGUUAUGGGUCCACCUCUUGGGUCUGUUUGUACCUGGUCUAUUACUUGAAGUUUAAAAGUGUGUGUUGGGUUUAUAUUGACGUGUUUUGCUAAUGCAUUUUCUGUUUUAUUUCUGCUAAUACUAUAACUAUGCUAACAGAUCCACUGUUUUAGUUUGCGCUCAGUUUUUCCAAUAUAGAAUGAAGGGCACAACUGACACUUUGCAAGAUACACAUGUUAGAAUUACAGUUGUGUUUCUUAUUGAUAUUAUAUGUCUUCCCAGCAAUACUAUAUGUACUCCUUUCUUCAAUAUCCUUGCAAUAUGGACAAUUCCCACAAGUUUAUUGUGCUGUGUACAUUUUAUUCACAAAGUGCAGUCAUUUCAAAGUGUUUC